CCUACGGGAGGCUGCAGUGGGGAAUAUUGCGCAAUGGGCGCAAGCCUGAUGCAGCCAUGCCGCGUGUGUGAAGAAGGCCUUCGGGUUGUAAAGCACUUUCGUCGGGGAGGAAGGAGUUAAGGUUAAUAACCUUGGCGAUUGACGUUACCCGCCGAAGAAGCACCGGCUAACUCCGUGCCAGCAGCCGCGGUAAUACGGAGGGUGCAAGCGUUAAUCGGAAUUACUGGGCGUAAAGCGCACGCAGGCGGUCUGUCAAGUCGGAUGUGAAAUCCCCGGGCUCAACCUGGGAACUGCAUUCGAAACUGGCAGGCUAGAGUCCUGUAGAGGGGGGUAGAAUUCCAGGUGUAGCGGUGAAAUGCGUAGAGAUCUGGAGGAAUACCGGUGGCGAAGGCGGCCCCCUGGACAAAGACUGACGCUCAGGUGCGAAAGCGUGGGGAGCGAACAGGAUUAGAUACCCGGGUAGUC
rnacentral:rRNA from 1 species